AAUAGCCUAACGGCUGAACCAGCAAUUUGGAAGAAUGUAUAGCAAUAGCUGAUUGCACCAACAAACAGUUGAUGCAAAAUUGAUUAUAUCAAAUAAAAUUCUAGGUAGAUUUUUGAUAAUGACAUUGCUUACCUAAGUCUUGACCAAAUUACGUGCCAGCAGUCGCGGUAAUACGUAAAAGACUAGUGUUAUUCAUCUUUAAUUGGUUUAAAGGGUACCUAGACAGCGAAUAAAGCCGUUGUAGGGACUAAUUCGCUAGAGUUACUUAUGAGGGGGUAUUAAAGUACUGCAGGUGUAGAGAUGAAAUUUUGUUAUACCUUUUUUCGUAUGAGAAAAUAUGGCACAGGUAUAGGUGAAAGCAUCCCCUUAUGUGAUAACUGACGUUGAGGGACGAAGGCUUUGUGUCGCGAACAGGAUUAGAUACCCCAGUAGUCAAAGCAGAAAAUGAUGAAUGUCAUAGAUUAGAUAUACAAUUUAUUCUAUAAAUGAAAGUGUAAGCAUUCCACCUCAAGAGUAAUUUGGCAACAUUGGAACUGAAAUCAUUAGACCGUUUCUGAAACCAGUAGUGAAGUAUGUUGUUUAAUUUGAUGAUACGCAAAAAACCUUACCACAAUUUGAAUAUUUAUAUAUAUCUUUUAUUGAUUUUUACUUACAUAUAUGUAAAUAAUUAAAAUGAUGCUUAAAUCUCGUUUGUGAGACUGAGCAUGAAAAAAGAUAAUAUCUUUACAAGCGUUGCACGGCUGUCUUCAGUUAAUGUCGUGAGAUUUUGGUUAGUUCCAUUAAAUUAACGUAAACCCUUACUUUAUUUUUAUAUAAAGUAGUUCCCCGCUAUAUUGGAUAUGAUAACAGGGACUAAGACAAGUCAUCAUGGCCUAAAUAUUGUGGGCUAUAGACGUGCCACAUAAACCUCACAAAAGGAUGUGAAAUUGUGAAAUUGAGCUAAUCCUCCAAAAAUGGAUAAACAUUUAAU
rnacentral:rRNA from 1 species